UGCUUUACACAUCCAAGUCGAGCGGCAGCGCGGGGGCAACCCUGGCGGCGAGCGGCGAACGGGUGAGUAACAUAUCGGAACGUACCCUGUCGUGGGGGAUAACACAUCGAAAGAUGUGCUAAUACCACAUACGACCUGAGGGUGAAAGCGGGGGAUCGCAAGACCUCGCGCGAUAGGAGCGGCCGAUAUCGGAUUAGCUAGUUGGUGGGGUAAAGGCUCACCAAGGCGACGAUCCGUAGCUGGUCUGAGAGGAUGAUCAGCCACACUGGGACUGAGACACGGCCCAGACUCCUACGGGAGGCAGCAGUGGGGAAUUUUGGACAAUGGGGGCAACCCUGAUCCAGCCAUUCCGCGUGAGUGAAGAAGGCCUUCGGGUUGUAAAACUC
rnacentral:rRNA from 1 species